GAUGAACGCUGGCGGCGUGCCUAAUACAUGCAAGUCGAGCGAAGCGGGGACGGGUGAGUAACACGUGGAUAACCUCCUAUAAGACUGGGAUAACUUCGGGAAACCGGAGCUAAACCGGAUGCUUAUAGAUGGAUCCUCGCUGCAUUAGCUAGUUGGUAAGGUAACGCCUUACAAAAGCAACGAUGCAUAGCCGAACUGAGAGGUUGAUCAGGCACACUGGAACUAAGACACGGUCCAGACGCCUACGCGAGGUGACGGUAGUGAAUCUUCCGCAAUGGAAGAGAGCCUGACGGAGCAACGCCGCGUGGGUGAAGAGGGUCUUCGGAUCGUAAAACUAUGUUAUUAGGAAAGCGGUACCUAAUCAGAAUGCCCCGUCUAACUACGUGCCAGCAGCCGCGGUAAUUC
rnacentral:rRNA from 1 species